UACGUAGGGUCCGAGCGUUGUCCGGAAUUAUUGGGCGUAAAGAGCUCGUAGGCGGUGUGUCACGUCGGCCGUGAAAACCUGCAGCUUAACUGUGGGCGUGCGGUCGAUACGGGCAUCACUGGAGUUCGGCAGGGGAGACUGGAAUUCCUGGUGUAGCGGUGAAAUGCGCAGAUAUCAGGAGGAAUACCGGUGGCGAAGGCGGGGUCUCUGGGCCGAUACUGACGCUGAGGAGCGAAAGCGUGGGGAGCAAACAGG
rnacentral:rRNA from 1 species